rnacentral:rRNA from 1 species
UACGAAGGGGGCUAGCGUUGUUCGGAAUCACUGGGCGUAAAGCGCACGUAGGCGGGCUUUUAAGUCAGGGGUGAAAUCCCGGGGCUCAACCUCGGAAUUGCCUUUGAUACCGUAGGUCUCGAGUCCGGAAGAGGUGGGUGGAAUUCCUAGUGUAGAGGUGAAAUUCGUAGAUAUUAGGAAGAACACCGGUGGCGAAGGCGGCCCACUGGAUCGGUACUGACGCUGAGGUGCGAAAGCGUGGGGAGCAAACAGG